rnacentral:rRNA from 1 species
GCGGCAGGCCUAACACAUGCAAGUCNAGCNNAAACNAUCCUAGCUUGCUANNAGGCNUCNAGCNGCNGACNGGUNAGUAAUGCAUAGGAAUCUGCCCGGUAGUGGGGGAUAACUUNAGNAAACUCAAGCUAAUACCGCAUANCCCUACGGGGGAAAGCAGGGGCUCUUCGGACCUUGCGCUAUCGGAUGAGCUUAUGUCGGAUUAGCUGGUUGGUGAGGUAACGGCUCACCAAGGCGACGAUCCGUAGCUGGUCUGAGAGGAUGAUCAGCCACAUCGGGACUGAGACACGGCCCGAACUCCUACGGGAGGCAGCAGUGGGGAAUAUUGGACAAUGGGGGCAACCCUGAUCCAGCCAUGCCGCGUGUGUGAAGAAGGCCCU